GCUGCAGGGAGAGGGGGGGCUGCGGGGGAGGGGCUGGGGGCUAGCCUCCUCGGCCGGGAGCUCAAUGGCCCGGCAGGACAGUCCUGUGGGCCAGAUGUGGCCCAUGGGCCGUAGUUUGCCCACCUUUGCACU